GACGAACGCUGGCGGCGUGCUUAACACAUGCCAGUCGAACGGAAAGGCCCUGCUUUUGUGGGGUGCUCGAGUGGCGAACGGGUGAGUAACACGUGAGUAAACUGCCCUUGACUUUGGGAUAACUUCAGGAAACUGGGGCUAAUACCGGAUAGGAGCUCCUGCUGCAUGGUGGGGGUUGGAAAGUUUCGGCGGUUGGGGAUGGACUCGCGGCUUAUCAGCUUGUUGGUGGGGUAGUGGCUUACCAAGGCUUUGACGGGUAGCCGGCCUGAGAGGGUGACCGGCCACAUUGGGACUGAGAUACGGCCCAGACUCCUACGGGAGGCAGCAGUGGGGAAUAUUGCACAAUGGGCGGAAGCCUGAUGCAGCAACGCCGCGUGCGGGAUGACGGCCUUCGGGUUGUAAACCGCUUUCGCCUGUGACGAAGCGUGAGUGACGGUAAUGGGUAAAGAAGCACCGGCUAACUACGUG
rnacentral:rRNA from 1 species